GAGCGCACGUACGUUGAGAGGAGCGCACGUACGUUGAGAGGAGCGCACCGGAGAAAGAACACACGAGCUGCGGGACAGUGAGAGGAACACACUGGUAGAAGAGCACACAGGCAGCUGGAUGUCGAGAGGAGCGGAAGAGCACAGCGACAGGCACUGGUGUCGACCAGCGGAACGACGUGGAGUUUGGCCUGGGAGGUCAGAGAAGAAUUUGGCUGCUGGGCAGCCCCACUAUAGGGGAAAACCACCUUCCCACUCCAUUCCCCUUCUGAUCUCCCCAUCCACCUCGCUGAGAGCUACCACAACUCAAUAAAAAACCUAGCACUCGAUCUCCAAGCCCACAUGUGAUCCAAUUUUUCCCGUGCACUAAAGCAAGAACCUGGGAUACAGAAAGCCGUCUGUCCUUGUGAUAAGGCAGAGGGUCUAAUUGAGCUGAUUAACACAAGCCACCUGCGGACAGCUAAGCUGAAAAAGCAUCCUGUAACACACGCCCACUGGGGCCUCAGGAGGUGUAAACAUUCACCCCGAGAGGCUGCAUGGGUCCGCGCCCAUGGUCCCCAUGACUUGCCUGUUUGCCUGCUCUGGCUAAGGGUCUUGACCAGUGGGGCACUGAAGAAGCGAGCCACACCUCCAUCGUACGCCCUGCGAGGAGGGGUCUCACUCAGUGACCCAGGCUGAAUGCAGUGGAACAAUCAUGGCUUACUGUAGCCUUGACCUUGAGGGCUUAAGCAAUCCUGCCACCUCAGCCUGCCUAGUACUGGGACUACAGGUACGCGCCACCACGCCCAGGUAAUUUUUUAUUUUUGUAGAGACGGGGGCGUCGCCGUGUUGCCAAAGCUGGUCUUUAACACCUGGACUCAGGUGCUCCUCCCGCCUCGGCAUCCCAAAAUGUUGGGAUUACAGACGUGAGCCAUCAUGCCUGGCCUGACAACUUUCCUUUUUGUAAAAUGAAGAAGCAUUGGUACAUGAAUAAUUAAUGCCUCUUUA
rnacentral:lncRNA from 1 species